rnacentral:tRNA from 1 species
CAAGAGUUAGUUUAAUUUAAAAUGUUGGUUUUGGAGACCAAUGAAGAGUAUAUAUCUUACUCUUGA